AGCAAGCUAAAUUUUGAGUCCAGAAAGGUGGUUAGGGUUUCUGUGCUCUGGAUUGUACAUCUUCCUCUCUCUAACUUGUUCUCCCCACCUUUUAGGAUGGCCAACACCCUCUUAUCACUUGAGACUCAGAAGAAGGGAAAUCUCCUCUGAAUUCUUUUCUGACCAGGGGCCCUGAUGACUGCCCCUUGUUGUCCCUUCAUCCCUGUGUGGACCAUUCUCAUGGCAUGUUGAAAUGUUGACGAAGGGAAGACUGAAGUUGAGAUGAGUCCAUCUUUCCAUUUCAGUGGCUACCCUCCAUUCACCAAUAUCCCAUGGCUGUCUCUACAGGAAGAUAAUAAAAGAAGUAAUGAAAUCCAACAGACCAGGGGAUAUGGAUAUGGGAUGGCAGAUAAGGAAACAGCUUGUUGAAAUCCCCUUGGCUUGCUAAAUGGCAAAACGGGCUGAAACUGUUUGGAACCAAUAUAGCUGACUAGAAUCUGCACAGAAUAGACUUGCUUGCUGGAUGAGUGACCUUUUGACAUCAUAGCUGGAAUUUCCACCAUAUGUUUCAGACCAACUCCCCCUGCAUUUGCACAUGUGACUCAUGAAGAGGCAUGAAGAGACAACUGCAUACACCCUAGGGAUUUUACAAACUUCCCCCUUUCCUCCACCAAAUCACUCGCCAAUCCCGAAAUCCUCCUCCCAAAAUUUCUCCCCUCAGUAUACUGCUUUUAGGCUGGCAUGGGAGAUAGAUUUGAGUUAGCCUCCUGUCUCCUCAUUCGGUUGCUUUGCAGUAAACCUUUCUCUGCAAGAGACUGGUGCUGUGAUGUUGGGCUUUCCUUUGUGUGGGGGCAAAUGAACCCUAUUUGGUUUGGUCGCACUGGUGGAAUGAGUGUGUGGAUCAUUUUCAUGGCUGCGGUUUUUCAUUAAGUACCUGUGACUGAGUUCUUACAAUAGGGACAGUGACUUCCAAGCUAGAUUAUAGGGUUUUUGUAAAUCUACAAGUCAUUUGUUGCCAGCCUUUUUAAAAAAUAAAUACAUGAAUCAC
rnacentral:lncRNA from 1 species